rnacentral:ribozyme from 1 species
CUCUAUCCACUGCUGGAACUGGCUGGCGCCACGCUGGGCGGCAAGUUCUACACAGGCAAUGC